rnacentral:rRNA from 1 species
GGGCGUCCCUUCUGGGACGCCACCGGCGGACGGCUCAGUAACACGUCGGUUACCUACCCUCGGGAGGGGGAUAACCCCGGGAAACUGGGGCUAAUCCCCCAUAGGCCUGGGGUACUGGAAGGUCCCCAGGCCGAAAGGGAACCGUUAGGUCCCGCCCGAGGAUGGGCCGGCGGCCGAUUAGGUAGUUGGUGGGGUAACGGCCCACCAAGCCGAAGAUCGGUACGGGCCGUGAGAGCGGGAGCCCGGAGAUGGACACUGAGACACGGGUCCAGGCCCUACGGGGCGCAGCAGGCGCGAAACCUCCGCAAUGCGGGAAACCGCGACGGGGGGACCCCCAGUGCCGUGCCUCUGGCACGGCUUUUCCGGAGUGUAAAAAGCUCCGGGAAUAAGGGCUGGGUAAGGCCGGUGGCAGCCGCCGCGGUAAUACCGGCGGCCCGAGUGGUGGCCACUAUUAUUGGGCCUAAAGCGGCCGUAGCCGGGCCCGUAAGUCCCUGGCGAAAUCCCACGGCUCAACCGUGGGGCUCGCUGGGGAUACUGCGGGCCUUGGGACCGGGAGAGGCCGGGGGUACCCCCGGGGUAGGGGUGAAAUCCUAUAAUCCCGGGGGGACCGCCAGUGGCGAAGGCGCCCGGCUGGAACGGGUCCGACGGUGAGGGCCGAAGGCCAGGGGAGCGAACCGGAUUAGAUACCCGGGUAGUCCUGGCUGUAAAGGAUGCGGGCUAGGUGUCGGGCGAGCUUCGAGCUCGCCCGGUGCCGUAGGGAAGCCGUUAAGCCCGCCGCCUGGGGAGUACGGCCGCAAGGCUGAAACUUAAAGGAAUUGGCGGGGGAGCACUACAAGGGGUGGAGCGUGCGGUUCAAUUGGAUUCAACGCCGGGAACCUUACCGGGGGCGACGGCAGGAUGAAGGCCAGGCUGAAGGUCUUGCCGGACGCGCCGAKAGGAGKWGCAKGSYYGCCGUCAGCUCGUACCGUGAGGCGUCCACUUAAGUGUGGUAACGAGCGAGACCCGCGCCCCCAGUUGCCAGUCCCUCCCGCUUGGGAGGGAGGCACUCUGGGGGGACUGCCGGCGAUAAGCCGGAGGAAGGGGCGGGCGACGGUAGGUCAGUAUGCCCCGAAACCCCCGGGCUACACGCGCGCUACAAUGGGCGGGACAAUGGGACCCGACCCCGAAAGGGGAAGGGAAUCCCCUAAACCCGCCCUCAGUUCGGAUCGCGGGCUGCAACUCGCCCGCGUGAAGCUGGAAUCCCUAGUACCCGCGCGUCAUCAUCGCGCGGCGAAUACGUCCCUGCUCCUUGCACACACCGCCCGUCACUCCACCCGAGCGGGGCCCGGGUAGGCCCGAUCUCCUUCGGGAGUCG